rnacentral:lncRNA from 1 species
GGCCCGGCUUCCGCCCGGUCUCCCGGCAAGGCUGAGGCCCCGCCCCCGUCAUGGCGCCCGAGGAGAACGCGGGGAGCGAACUCUUGCUGCAGAGUUUCAAGCGCCGCUUCCUGGCAGCGCGCGCCCUGCGCUCCUUCCGCUGGCAGAGCUUAGAAGCAAAGUUAAGAGACUCAUCAGAUUCUGAGCUGCUGCGGGAUAUUUUGCAGAAGCACGAGGCUGUCCACACAGAGCCUUUGGAUGAGCUGUACGAGGUGCUGGUGGAGACCCUGAUGGCCAAGGAGUCCACCCAGGGCCACCGGAGCUAUUUGCUGACGUGCUGUAUUGCCCAGAAGCCAUCGUGUCGCUGGUCGGGGUCCUGCGGAGGCUGGCUGCCUGCCGGGAGCACCAGCGGGCUCCUCAAUUCUACAUGGCCCUUACCGUCUGCAACCCAGAGAUGUGCCAGCUGUUCACCACCGAGCUAUAGAGCACUUGGAGAUGGCAAAGCUGAACCUCACACUGUAGGACUCACACAUGACUCCAACGGGAUUGUGAGAAUUAAGUCACUCUCGUGGGAAGAAUUUUUAUAUGGGAAAGCGGAUAAAACUUUCAUUGGACUGGAAUGUUUGGAGAAUGUUAAAUUCCAAAUCAGGAACCACAAACUGCGCUCUAAUAAGACAUCGGCUAUCUAAGCAUGUGGGUUCCCCCUUUCUGCCAGCAGUUCUGGUUCUUAAGAAAAUCACCAUAAAUCAGACAUGAAAAUUCUGGCUCCAAAAAUAGCAUUUUCAUUGUGCAAAUAAAAACGUGUGUAUCAAGUA